AGAUUGAACGCUGGCGGCAGGCCUAACACAUGCAAGUCGAGCGGCAGCACGGGUACUUGUACCUGGUGGCGAGCGGCGGACGGGUGAGUAAUGCCUAGGAAUCUGCCUGGUAGUGGGGGAUAACGGCUCGGAAACGGACGCUAAUACCGCAUACGUCCUACGGGAGAAAGCAGGGGACCUUCGGGCCUUGCGCUAUCAGAUGAGCCUAGGUCGGAUUAGCUUAGGUUGGUGAGGUAAUGGCUCACCGAAGGCGACGAUCCGUAACUGGUACUGGAGAGGAUGAUCAGUCACACUGGAACUGACGACGACGGUCCAGACCUCCGUACGGGAGCAG
rnacentral:rRNA from 1 species